rnacentral:rRNA from 1 species
AGAGUUCGAUUCUGGCUCAGGACGAACGCUGGCGGCGCGCCUAACACAUGCAAGUCGAACGAGCGAGAGAGAGCUUGCUUUCUCGAGCGAGUGGCGAACGGGUGAGUAACGCGUGAGGAACCUGCCUCAAAGAGGGGGACAACAGUUGGAAACGACUGCUAAUACCGCAUAAGCCCACGGCUCGGCAUCGAGCAGAGGGAAAAGGAGCAAUCCGCUUUGAGAUGGCCUCGCGUCCGAUUAGCUAGUUGGUGAGGUAACGGCCCACCAAGGCAACGAUCGGUAGCCGGACUGAGAGGUUGAACGGCCACAUUGGGACUGAGACACGGCCCAG